rnacentral:rRNA from 1 species
ACAUGCCUAUAACAUAUCGUUAAUGCAUCAGAUCUCAUUAGAACUCCACAGUUAAGUGCGCUCAUGCUAGAGUAAUAUUGGGAUGGGUGACCGCCUUGGAAGUCCUAGUGUUUUACAUGUC